rnacentral:rRNA from 1 species
GUAGGAUAAGCUAAGCACACUGUUGGUUAUGUGUGCCCAAGCAUUGAGGCAGUCAAAGUAGGCAAAUCCGCUUUGAUAAUGCUGGGAUGUGAUGGGGAGCGAAAUUUAGUAGCGAAGUAGCUGAUUUCACACUGUCAAGAAAAGUCUCUAUCGAGGUUAAAGGUACCCGUACCGCAAACCGACACAGGUGGGUGAGGAGAGUAUCCUAAGGCCAGCGAGAGAACUGUUGUUAAGGAACUCGGCAAAAUGACCCCGUAACUU